rnacentral:rRNA from 1 species
AUUGAACGCUGGCGGCAUGCCUUACACAUGCAAGUCGAACGGCAGCACGGGUGCUUGCCCCUGGUGGCGAGUGGCGAACGGGUGAGUAAUACAUCGGAACAUGUCCUGUAGUGGGGGAUAGCCCGGCGAAAGCCGGAUUAAUACCGCAUACGAUCUACGGAUGAAAGCGGGGGACCUUCGGGCCUCGCGCUAUAGGGUUGGCCGAUAGCUGAUUAGCUAGUUGGUGGGGUAAAGGCCUACCAAGGCGACGAUCAGUAGCUGGUCUGAGAGGACGACCAGCCACACUGGGGCUGAGACACGGCCCAGACUCCUACGGGAGGCAGCAGUGGGGAAUUUUGGACAAUGGGCGAAAGCCUGAUCCAGCAAUGCCGCGUGUGUGAAGAAGGCCUUCGGGUUGUAAAGCACUUUUGUCCGGAAAGAAAUCCUUGGCUCUAAUACAGUCGGGGGAUGACGGUACCGGAAGAAUAAGCACCGGCUAACUACGUG